rnacentral:lncRNA from 1 species
AUGGCUGGGGAAGUGGAAACUAUCUCAUCAAGUGUAGAGAUUUGGCUACCAUGCAAAACGGGCGGUCUAACAACUUAUUUAGUGACUUCAGGCCCACGUUCUGAGGACCAGAUCCAGGAGGCUCACUACAGGCUUUGGCUGUUGGAACGUGGCUGGGAAUGGCCUCUACCACACCACCCUCUACCUCCUCAUGGAGCCCCCUCUGAAACUUUUCCUUUAGGAUACAUGUUCUUUCCCCUGAAGAACUUGCAGGCGCUAUCUGCUCCUUGGGUAGAGGGAAGAAGCUAACUCACUACAUCUCCCAUUUUGUUUUGGCUGCUUUGGCUGCCAGGAAGCUCAGAGAUGAACAUGAUAUUCAGUUAAUAGAUCUGAGAGAACAUUAUGGGCUUCAUAUUUAUUUAUUUAUGUUCUUGAACCUGAUCUUCACAUUCUCUUUUAAAUUAUAUCUUUAUGUUUUUGAUCUUCUAUUUUUAUUUUAUCUUCCUACCUCUUGUUGGAAACUACCUCAUGUGCCUUGAGUAUGAGGCAGGUAUGCAAAUUAUUUCCAUUCAUUCAGCAAAUGUACAGAGAUGCCUUUUAUAUGUCAAGUCCUUUUGAUUUGCGAUUGACAGGACUCUAUUAAGCCAAAAAAUGGUAAAAUAAAUGACUAACUCAUGAAAAGAGCAAAGGUGUACCUGAGCCCAAUUUUGCCUGGAUGGCAGGACUCGGGGCCCCUUGUCUCCGUGUGUAUAGGUAUGUGUGUAGGUGUGUGUGUGUGUGCGCGUGUGUAUGUUACUCUCCUCUUCAUUUCAUCUCCAUUUCCCUCUCUCUGUCACCUUCAUUCUCUCUGAUGGGAAUGUUGGCUGCAAGGAGCACGACAUUGCUAUCCUUGGACCUUUGCCACCAGUGUGAAAAGAAAACUCUUCCCAGGUUGAAAAAUCCUAGGGAAGGACUCUGACAUGCCCUGCUUCGAGUCUUGUGGCCAUCCCUGCACCAAUCACAGGAACCCAGUGGGAAGGGAAUGUGGACCAGCAUUUCUGGCACUACCACCUCGUUGGAGUGGGAGGAGCAGUACUCUAAAGGUGGGGAUGUGAUUUGGGGUGUCCUGAAGGAAGAUGGCCAGGACAGACCAAACACCCACCACAGGCUUACCAUGUGCCAAGUAACCAGGAGACACCCUGGAGAUGCAGAUGUGAAUAAAACAAGCCCUCUGCCCCUGAGAUGGCCAUAGUCCAACAGAGGGAGGUAAAACAUGCAAUGACGACUAUGAUAAAAUCAGAACAUGGGAAGAAUCUCAGAAGAGCAAUAGGCAAAGGAUUUGGGGUAUUCCAAGGAGGACAGAGGAACUUCUGAUUCUGGCCAUGAGAAAGUAAGUUUUACCAAAUUGAUCCUUUUGCCACAAACAACUGAGAAACUGGACAAAGCAUUAGGAAAACUACUUCUAGAUUUUAGAAAACUGACUGCACAGGACCGUAAUCCAUGAGAAAAGGGAAGCAGGUGAGGUAAGCCCUACCAUCAUUCAGGUCAUCUACAUCUGCCACCUGCCCACAGGUAAAUGCCCUACUACAUGCAAGGAGGGGAAUCCAAACAGGGUCCAUCAGUCUCACUGAUUAAGG